rnacentral:rRNA from 1 species
UAGGGAAUCUUCCGCAAUGGGCGAAAGCUUGACGGAGCAACGCCGCGUGAGUGAUGAAGGUCUUCGGAUCGUAAAACUCUGUUAUUAGGGAAGAACAAAUGUGUAAGUAACUAUGCACGUCUUGACGGUACCUAAUCAGAAAGCCACGGCUAACUACGUGCCAGCAGCCGCGGUAAUACGAAGGUGGCAAGCGUUAUCCGGAAUUAUUGGGCGUAAAGCGCGCGUAGGCGGUUUUUUAAGUCUGAUGUGAAAGCCCACGGCUCAACCGUGGAGGGUCAUUGGAAACUGGAAAACUUGAGUGCAGAAGAGGAAAGUGGAAUUCCAUGUGUAGCGGUGAAAUGCGCAGAGAUAUGGAGGAACACCAGUGGCGAAGGCGACUUUCUGGUCUGUAACUGACGCUGAUGUGCGAAAGCGUGGGGAUCAAACAGG